GGUGAGUAAUGCCUAGGAAUCUGCCUGAUAGUGGGGGACAACGUUUCGAAAGGAACGCUAAUACCGCAUACGUCCUACGGGAGAAAGCAGGGGACCUUCGGGCCUUGCGCUAUCAGAUGAGCCUAGGUCGGAUUAGCUAGUUGGUGAGGUAACGGCUCACCAAGGCGACGAUCCGUAACUGGUCUGAGAGGAUGAUCAGUCACACUGGAACUGAGACACGGUCCAGACUCCUACGGGAGGCAGCAGUGGGGAAUAUUGGACAAUGGGCGAAAGCCUGAUCCAGCCAUGCCGCGUGUGUGAAGAAGGUCUUCGGAUUGUAAAGCACUUUAAGUUGGGAGGAAGGGCAUUAACCUAAUACGUUAGUGUUUUGACGUUACCGACAGAAUAAGCACCGGCUAACUUCGUGCCAGCAG
rnacentral:rRNA from 1 species